rnacentral:rRNA from 1 species
AGUGAACGCUGGCGGUAGGCCUAACACAUGCAAGUCGAACGGCAGCACAGUAAGAGCUUGCUCUUACGGGUGGCGAGUGGCGGACGGGUGAGGAAUACAUCGGAAUCUACUUUUUCGUGGGGGAUAACGUAGGGAAACUUACGCUAAUACCGCAUACGACCUACGGGUGAAAGCAGGGGAGCUUCGGACCUUGCGCGAUUGAAUGAGCCGAUGUCGGAUUAGCUAGUUGGCGGGGUAAAGGCCCACCAAGGCGACGAUCCGUAGCUGGUCUGAGAGGAUGAUCAGCCACACUGGAACUGAGACACGGUCCAGACUCCUACGGGAGGCAGCAGUGGGGAAUAUUGGACAAUGGGCGCAAGCCUGAUCCAGCCAUACCGCGUGGGUGAAGAAGGCCUUCGGGUUGUAAAGCCCUUUUGUUGGGAAAGAAAAGCAGCAGGUUAAUACCCCGCUGUUCUGACGGUACCCAAAGAAUAAGCACCGGCUAACUUCGUG